UCUUUAUCUAUAAUUAAUAAUAUAAUUUAUUAACCAACAUGUUGAAACAACACACAACACUUUUUUCUAUGAUUACAUAUUUAAAAACAGGGUGUCAUAGCAGGGUGUUUUUUGUUAUUUGGUCGGCAAUUUAGUUCGAGAUUAAAUUGUUAAAACUAAAUUUUUAUCAAAAAUUGUAUAAGAUGAGGAUACCAAUUUAACGCAGAUUAUCUCGAGGGUUUCGAGCGAAAACCCGAUAAAUACCAAAAUUAUGAAAUCUGGUAUUUUAUUAUUUCUGCUGUUGUAAAAACAUGUCUCCUACCAUUGGUAAAUGUUAUUAUUUGAUAUUAACAUUUUUAAACACAAUAACCAAUAAAAACCAAACAUGGUAAAAACCGUUAACUUAUAUUUUUAAAUAACACCAACCCGAUAUGUAACUUUAGUGAUAAAAAUACUUUGUUGUAAACAUAUUUAUAAUAUGAGAAUCCCCUAGAAUCAUUUAUCUUCUUUUUCUAAAUAUUUAUAUUUCUAAGAAAUCUAGAAAUAUUUCUAAGUUAAAAACUGAUAAUUAAUUUUUAUCGAAGAUGAAGAUUACAAAAUUGAUUUUGACAAAAUAUAUUCAUGCGAAAAUCCGAUAAAGAAUUUUAGACUAUGGAUAGUUUAUUAGAUUUCAGCACACUUUUUUCCUGCGAAACCCAUUAAAAAUAUUACGAAAACAAAAAA
rnacentral:lncRNA from 1 species